rnacentral:rRNA from 1 species
AGGAAAAGAAACCAACAGGGAUUGCCCUAGUAACGGCGAGUGAAGCGGCAACAGCUCAAAUUUGAAAUCUGGCUCUUUUAGGGUCCGAGUUGUAAUUUGCAGAGGGCGCUUUGGCGUUGGCAGCGGUCCAAGUUCCUUGGAACAGGACGUCACAGAGGGUGAGAAUCCCGUACGUGGUCGCUAACCUUCGCCGUGUAAAGCCCCUUCGACGAGUCGAGUUGUUUGGGAAUGCAGCUCUAAAUGGGAGGUAAAUUUCUUCUAAAGCUAAAUACUGGCCAGAGACCGAUAGCGCACAAGUAGAGUGAUCGAAAGAUGAAAAGCACUUUGGAAAGAGAGUCAAAUAGCACGUGAAAUUGUUGAAAGGGAAGCGCUUGCAGCCAGACUUGCCUGUAGUUGCUCAUCCGGGCUUUUGCCCGGUGCACUCUUCUGCGGGCAGGCCAGCAUCAGUUUGGGCGGUUGGAUAAAGGUCUCUGUCAUGUACCUCUCUUCGGGGAGGCCUUAUAGGGGAGACGACAUGCAACCAGCCUGGACUGAGGUCCGCGCAUCUGCUAGGAUGCUGGCGUAAUGGCUGUAAGCGGCCCGUCUUGAAACACGGACCAAGGAGUCUAACAUCUAUGCGAGUGUUUGGGUGUCAAGCCCGAGCGCGUAAUGAAAGUGAACGGAGGUGGGAACCCUUAAGGGUGCACCAUCGACCGAUCCUGAUGUCUUCGGAUGGAUUUGAGUAAGAGCAUGGCUGUUGGGACCCGAAAGAUGGUGAACUAUGCUUGAAUAGGGUGAAGCCAGAGGAAACUCUGGUGGAGGCUCGCAGCGGUUCUGACGUGCAAAUCGAUCGUCAAAUUUGGGCAUAGGGGCGAAAGACUAAUCGAACUAUCUAGUA